rnacentral:rRNA from 1 species
UACGUAGGGUGCGAGCGUUGUCCGGAAUUAUUGGGCGUAAAGAGCUCGUAGGCGGCCUGUCGCGUCAGAUGUGAAAGCCCGGGGCUUAACCCCGGGUCUGCAUUCGAUACGGGCAGGCUAGAGUGUGGUAGGGGAGAUCGGAAUUCCUGGUGUAGCGGUGAAAUGCGCAGAUAUCAGGAGGAACACCGGUGGCGAAGGCGGAUCUCUGGGCCAUUACUGACGCUGAGGAGCGAAAGCGUGGGGAGCGAACAGU